UACGAAGGGGGCUAGCGUUGUUCGGAUUCACUGGGCGUAAAGCGCACGUAGGCGGAUUGUUAAGUCAGGGGUGAAAUCCUGGAGCUCAACUCCAGAACUGCCUUUGAUACUGGCAAUCUAGAGUCCGGAAGAGGUGAGUGGAACUCCUAGUGUAGAGGUGGAAUUCGUAGAUAUUCGCAAGAACACCAGUGGCGAAGGCGGCCAACUGGUCCGAUACUGACGCUGAGGCGCGAAAGCGUGGGGAGCAAACAGG
rnacentral:rRNA from 1 species